UGCCUAGGCCAUACCACCCUGAACGCCCUCGAUCUUGUCUGAUCUCGGAAGCUAAGCAGGGUCGAGCCUGAUUAGUACUUGGACAGGAGAAAAGAAAUUCUCAAAAACAAAGCAA
rnacentral:rRNA from 1 species